GGGUGGAACUGGACCCUCAUGUCAGAGACUGUGUUCACACCUAUAUCCGGGAGUGGCUAAUUGUGAACCAGAAAAACCAAGGAAGUUCCGAGAUUUGUGGCUUUAAAAAGACUGGAUCUCGAAAAGAUUUUCACAAGACGCUUCAGAAACAGACCUUUGAGUCAGAAUCGUUGGAGUGCGCUGAACCCUCUGCUCAGACAGGCCCCUGCCGCUUAAACGUGCUGUGCGACGUGUCUGGGAAAGGCCCCUUCACUGCUUUUGAAUUCAACCUCCGCA